ensembl:lncRNA
UGAACAGCUCCCUCUGUUGGUGACUGGUCCAGUCAGUUUGAUGAUGGGCUGUAGAACAGCUCCCUCUGUUGGUGGCUGGUCCAGUCAGUUUGAUGAUGGGCUGUAGAACAGCUCCCUCUGUUGGUGACUGGUCCAGUCAGUUUGAUGAUGGGCUGUAGAACAGCUCCCUCUGUUGGUGACUGGUCCAUCCUGUAUGGGAUGAUGGGUUGUUGAACAGCUCCCUCUGUUGGUGGCUGGUCCAGUCAGUUUGAUGAUGGGCUGUAGAACAGCUCCCUCUGUUGGUGACUGGUCCAGUCAGUUUGAUGAUGGGUUGUUGAACAGCUCCCUCUGUUGGUGGCUGGUCCAGUCAGUUUGAUGAUGGGUUGUUGAACAGCUCCCUCUGUUGGUGGCUGGUCCAGUCUGUAUGGGAUGAUGGGUUGUUGAACAGCUCACUGUUAGUGGCUGGUCCAGUCUGUAUGGGAUGAUGGGUUGUUGAACAGCUCCCUCUGUUGGUGGCUGGUCCAGUCUGUAAGGGAUGAUGGGUUGUUGAACAGCUCCCUCUGUUGGUGGCUGGUCCAGUCUGUAAGGGAUGAUGGGUUGUUGAACAGCUCCCUCUGUUGGUGGCUGGUCCAGUCAGUUUGAUGAUGGG